GAGAUUUAGUCUUAAAAAAAGUAGAAGUGUCAAAGCCUUUGGAUCAAGAAAAACUAUCUCCGAACUGGAAAGAAUCUUAUAGAAUAUCCGAAACUCUUAGAUCGGGCACAUAUCGACUGAAAACUCUCGAAGAUUGGCGAUUCUCCGAACGUGAAAUACUGAUAAUUUAAAGAUGUAUUAUUAAUAAAGUUAUCGAUAUGUAUAUUAUUUGAAAUACAAUCAGAAUUUCAGAAUCACA
rnacentral:lncRNA from 1 species